GGUAGAUGGCACUGGGGAUUUCAGACUCCAGAACUGAAAACAAGCUGAGCAUCUGGUGGAGCCAUCCGCUGAUCCAAAAGGCUGCUCUCUACAGAUGAAUGGGUGUUAAGACAGCUGUCCUUCCUAGACCAUGAGCAGCUGCUGGCCAGGGUUGCUGCCUGCCAAAAGGGUGGAGUUGGGAGAAACCAGGAGUCAACCACAGCUACCACAGUCUAAUGAGUUAGUUUGAUACCAGGGACAUAUUAGGAGGACUUGCUGCUGCCACGAGCUUGCACAUGACUCUUCUCAACUGCAGAGGAAAACCAGUAUGAUGCCAGGCUAGAAGCAGCAGCAUCACCAUCAGCCUGGUCACAUUCUACUUAUAGCCCACUCCAUCUGACAGCAUAAAGCUAGACCUGCCCUGGGCUGCUGGUAGCAUAAAGCCAGACCUGCCCUGGGCUGCCAAAAAAGUCUUCCUGAAAGCCAUGAAUGACAUGCAAAGGAGAAAUAUGAAACAUCUAAGUGAAUAUAGAGGAGAGGGCAUUUCUGAUAGACACUCAUGAGUCAGGCCCACAGGCUUAAAACACAGUGAUACUUGUACUGGUUUCUUACAGCUGCUGUGACUUAAAACAACAGACAUUUUUUCUCUCAUGAUUCUGGAGGCUGAAAGUCUGAAAUCAAUGUGUUUUCAGGGCCAUGCUCUCUCUGAAGUCUGUAAGGAAGAAUCCUCCUUUUCCUCUUCCAGCUUUUGGUGGUUUCUGGCAUUCCUUGGUUUGUGGGAACCUAAAUUCAGUCUCUGCCUCCAUCUUCAUUCACAUGGCCUCUUCCCUGGGUCUCUGUGUGUUUCUCACAGUCUUCUUAUGAUGUCACCAAUUAUUGGAUUUUGGACCCACCCCACUCUAGUAUGACCUCAUCUUAACUUGAUUAGAUCUGCAAAGUCCGUAUCUCCAAAUAAGAUCACAUUUACUGGCACAGGGAGUUAGAAUUUUAACAUAUCUUUUUAGGGAACACAAUUCACACCACAACACUGGCACAUGAAGAGGGAAUAGGAAGUGUCUGGAUGAAUGUGGGGGAGAGGGUAUUUUCCUCCUCUAUAGUCACUUAGACAGAAAGAAUGUCAUGAAUCAAGCCCAAGGGCUUGAAAUGCUCCAGUGCUUCUGUAGAAAACCAGCAAUGCCUCACUCCUCACUCCAGCAGGAUGCUUUACUUUCCCUGUGGUAAGACCAGCAACACUUAUGAUUAUUUGCUCCUUGUAUGGGUAGAAGGGUCACCUGUGUAAGUAUAACACAUCAGCCCACCCCUAAAAUUUUCAGGGCUCCGGAUAAGAACAUAAAUGGAGACCCAAGAAGCAUAUGUCCAAUUAUUUCAAAGUUAUAUUUCAUGCUACAAAUUGUUAAGCCAAAUAUGUUCUGUUCUCCUAUUUUGACAAAUACACCUUCAUUACUACAAAAUUUUUAUAGGUAUUAGAAAGCUGUGGUUUUUAUUUAACUGAAAGUUGGCAAAAUAUCAGAUGGUCUGUCUGGGUAUUCUGUUGAAAGGCUGAUGAUGUUAGGAUGAGUAAUAAAGACAUACAAAAUUCAUAAAUUAUUAUAUAUUUAUUUCACAGAAUUUACUGUCUUUCCUUUAUUUCAGAAAAUGUACUAAUUAUGUUGUUGUUGCUGGGGGCGAUGGCUCACGCCUGUAAUCCCAGGACUUUGGGAGGCUGAGGUGGGUGGAUCACCUGAGGUCGGGAGUUCGAGACCAGCCUGGCCAACAUGGUGAAACCCCAUCUCUACUAAAAAUACAAAAAAUUAGUUUCAGGAUUAUUUGCACAUAUUAUUUGUUUCUCCUUAGAGUCAUUUUUGUUUCCAACUUCAAAUUUUCUUAUAUUUUAUUGAUAUGUCAUUUUUAUUGGGUAACUCACAUGUAGUUUCUAUUACUUAUAAAAAUACAUUUCAUAAUUAAAAUACUAUGAUAUGUUAUAUACAUAUAAUAUGUGUGUGUGUUAAAUCUUUUAAAAGUAAAAGAAGACUAGAUUUGUUUAGGGUUUUGUAAACUUUUUCUAGCAUUAUUAAUAGCACCCAUCCAUUUAUACCAAAUAACUGUGCACAAAUUAUACUAAUUAUAAAAUUUAUUCUAAUUAUAAAUUACUUUGAUUUUCUGUGAUGACUACAAUUUUCUUUUUGAGCAUCUUUUGCUUAACUCUCUUGGUGCAACUUGUAUUUCUUUAUGUGUCCAAGAGAUGCUGUAAGGUUUAAUCAAAACAUUUCAUAUUUUAAAAGAACCAGAAAAUAUUACAUAUAAUCUAUGUACUAUUCCCAAUAAUGUCAUGGAUAAGGGCACAGUAAAGGCCAUGCCUCCUAGUAAUAAGCACAAAGGAAUUACACAAAAGAGUGCCAAGUACAAAGAUAGAUUUGGAGCAAACUCUUGGCUUGUGCACCUUUUCCUUUAUCAGCCAUGUUAGCACCAUUUUCGGAGGCUUGUCAUUGAUUAACUUUUAUUUUGAAAGAGAGAUCUGUUAAAGAAUACAAAAUUAUAGCCAGAUAGGAAAAAUAAGUUCUAGUGUUCUAUAGUACUGUAGGAUGAUUAUAGCUAAAAAUUUAUAGUUUCAAAUAGCUAGAAGGAAAACAUCGAACAUUCCCAACAUAAAGAAAUGAUAAAUGAUUGAGAUGAUGAAUAUGCUAAUUAAUUACCCUGUUCUGAUCACUCUGCAUUACAUGUAUUGAAACAUCACUACAUACCCCAGGAAUAUGUACAAUUAUUAUUUGUCCAUUAAAAACAUAAAACAUUUAAAAAGCAAAGAAAA
ensembl:lncRNA novel transcript